GUUGAGGGGAAUGUUGGCUGGCUCGAGGCUUUUCACAAAUAUAUGUUCACAGUUUUGAAGAACUAUAAAGCUUCGGACCAGGCUUCAUUCCCCUCAAAACUUGUUUGCUUUGGAUAUUGAAAGUGAAGUUCAUGUUUCUGUUCUGUAUAUAUGUAUGUAUGGUUGCAUAUUCUAGCCUUGCAAAGGUUUAGUUGAGAGGAAUGUUGUCUGGCUCGAGGGUUAUGUAAGAGUUGUUAGUCUGUUACUAAUCUCAAUUCUUUCAAUGAAAGUUUCUAUGGUUAGUACAUCUAACUCAAAAUUAGUCUCGGACCAGGCUUCAUUCCCCCCAGC